GUGAAGCCCAGCUUGCUGGGUGGAUCAGUGGCGAACGGGUGAGUAACACGUGAGCAACCUGCCCUCCACUUCGGGAUAAGCCUUGGAAACGGGGUCUAAUACCGGAUAUGAGCUCGCAUCGCAUGGUGUGGGUUGGAAAGUUUUUCGGUGGGGGAUGGGCUCGCGGCCUAUCAGCUUGUUGGUGGGGUGAUGGCCUACCAAGGCGUCGACGGGUAGCCGGCCUGAGAGGGCGACCGGCCACACUGGGACUGAGACACGGCCCAGACUCCUACGGGAGGCAGCAGUGGGGAAUAUUGCACAAUGGGCGCAAGCCUGAUGCAGCGACGCCGCGUGAGGGAUGACGGCCUUCGGGUUGUAAACCUCUUUCAGCAGGGAAGAAGCGCAAGUGACGGUACCUGCAGAAGAAGCGCCGGCUAACUACGUGCCAGCAGCCGCGGUAAUACGUAGGGCGCAAGCGUUGUCCGGAAUUAUUGGGCGUAAAGAGCUCGUAGGCGGUCUGUCGCGUCUGGUGUGAAAUCCCGAGGCUCAACCUCGGGCUUGCAUCGGGUACGGGCAGACUAGAGUGCGGUAGGGGAGACUGGAAUUCCUGGUGUAGCGGUGGAAUGCGCAGAUAUCAGGAGGAACACCGAUGGCGAAGGCAGGUCUCUGGGCCGCAACUGACGCUGAGGAGCGAAAGCAUGGGGAGCGAACAGGAUCAGAUACCCUGGUAGUCCAUGCCGUAAACGUUGGGCACUAGGUGUGGGGCUCAUUCCACGAGUUCCGUGCCGCAGCUAACGCAUUAAGUGCCCCGCCUGGGGAGUACGGCCGCAAGGCUAAAACUCAAAGGAAUUGACGGGGGCCCGCACAAGCGGCGGAGCAUGCGGAUUAAUUCGAUGCAACGCGAAGAACCUUACCAAGGCUUGACAUGUACGAGAAAGCCCCCGAGACGGGGUUCUCUUUGGACACUCGUACACAGGUGGUGCAUGGUUGUCGUCAGCUCGUGUCGUGAGAUGUUGGGUUAAGUCCCGCAACGAGCGCAACCCUCGUCCUAUGUUGCCAGCGGGUUAUGCCGGGGACUCAUGGGAGACUGCCGGGGUCAACUCGGAGGAAGGUGGGGAUGACGUCAAAUCAUCAUGCCCCUUAUGUCUUGGGCUUCACGCAUGCUACAAUGGCCGGUACAGAGGGCUGCGAUACCGUAAGGUGGAGCGAAUCCCAAAAAGCCGGUCUCAGUUCGGA
rnacentral:rRNA from 1 species